rnacentral:rRNA from 1 species
GACGAACGCUGGCGGCGUGCUUAACACAUGCAAGUCGAACGGUAAGGCCCCUUCGGGGGUACACGAGUGGCGAACGGGUGAGUAACACGUGAGCAACCUGCCCUUGACUUCGGAAUACCAGUUGGAAACAGCUGCUAAUACCGGAUAUGACCUCGACUCUCUUGGGUUGGGGUGGAAAGCUCCGGCGGUCAGGGAUGGGCUCGCGGCCUAUCAGCUUGUUGGUGAGGUAAUGGCUCACCAAGGCUUCGACGGGUAGCCGGCCUGAGAGGGCGACCGGCCACACUGGGACUGAGAUACGGCCCAGACUCCUACGGGAGGCAGCAGUGGGGUAAUUUUGCGCAAGUGGGGGAAACCCUGACGCAGCAACGCCGCGUGGAGGAUGAAGUCCUUGGGACGUAAACUCCUUUCGACCCGGACGAUAAUGACGGUACGGGUGGAAGAACGCCCCGGCUAACUUCGU